rnacentral:rRNA from 1 species
UACGUAGGAGACGAGCGUUGUCCGGAAUUACUGGGCGUAAAGCGCGUGUAGGCGGAGGAGCAAGUCUGCUGUGAAAGCCCCUGGCUUAACCGGGGGUGGUCGGUGGAAACUGCUCGUCUGGAGGACGGUAGAGGUAGGUAGAAUUCCCGGUGUAGUGGUGAAAUGCUUAGAUAUGACAUAGAACACCAAUUGCGAAGGCAGCUGGCUACACGAAUAUUGACACUGAUGCACGAAAGCGUGGGGAUCAAACAGG